GAGUAAACUUAAUUAAUAAAUUAAAACUAUUAACAACGGAUCUCUGGGUUCUGGCAUCGAUGAAGAACGCAGCGAAAUGCGAUAAGUAAUGUGAAUUGCAGAAUUCAGUGAAUUAUCGAAUCUUUGAACGCACAUUGCGCCCCCUGGUAUUCCGGGGGGCAUGCCUGUUCGAGCGUCAUUUCACCACUCAAGCCUCGCUUGGUAUUGGGCAACGCGGUCCGCCGCGUGCCUCAAAUCGACCGGCUGGGUCUUCUGUCCCCUAAGCGUUGUGGAAACUAUUCGCUAAAGUCGUGUUCGGGAGGCUACGCCGUAAAACAACCCCAUUUCUAAGGUUGACCUCGGAUCAGGUAGGUUUCCCAUCCG
rnacentral:rRNA from 1 species